UUUUACAGGGUCAGACAUAGUAGUAUGAUAGGUGUUGUUUUACAGGGUCAGACAUAGUAGUAUGAUAGGUGUUGUUUUACAGGGUCAGUAGUAGUAUGAUAGGUGUUGUUUUACAGGGUCAGUCAUAGUAGUAUGAUAGGUGUUGUUUUACAGGGUCAGUCAUAGUAGUAUGAUAGGUGUUGUUGUACAGGGUCAUAGUAGUAUGAUAGGUGUUGUUUUACAGGGUCAGACAUAGUAGUGUGAUAGGUUUUGUUUUACAGGGUCAGUCAUAGUAGUUUGAUAGGUGUUGUUGUACAGAGUCAUAGUAGUAUGAUAGGUGUUGUUUUACAGGGUCAGACAUAGUAGUGUGAUAGGUUUUGUUUUACAGGGUCAGUCAUAGUAGUAUGAUAGGUGUUGUUUUACAGGGUCAGACAUAGUAGUAUGAUAGGUGUUGUUUUACAGGGUCAGUCAUAGUACUAUGAUAGGUGUUGUUUUACAGGGUCAGUCAUAGUAAUAUGAUAGGUGUUGUUUUACAGGGUCAGUCAUAGUAGUAUGAUAGGUGUUGUUUUACAGGGUCAGUCAUAGUAGUAUGAUAGGUGUUGUUUUACAGGGUCAGUCAUAGUAGUAUGAUAGGUGUUGUUUUACAGGGUCAGUCAUAGUAGUAUGAUAGGUGUUGUUUUACAGGGUCAGUCAUAGUAGUAUGAUAGGUGUUGUUUUACAG